rnacentral:rRNA from 1 species
CGUAGGUCCCCGAGCGUUGUCCGGAUUUAUUGGGCGUAAAGACGAGCGCAGGCGGUUAGAUAAGUACUGAAGUUAAAAGGACUGUGGCUUAACCAAUAGUACGCUUUGGAAAACUAGUUUAAACUUGAGUGCAAGAAGGGGAGAGUGGAAUUCCAUGUGUAGCGGUGAAAUAGCGUAGAUAUAUGGAGGAACACCGGUGGCGAAAGACGGCUCUCUGGCUUGUAACUGACGCUGAGGCUCGAAAAGCGUGGGGAGCAAACAGGAUU